AUUUAUUCUUCCCGACUUAAAUUUUUUACUCAGAAACGAAUAGAAGAAAACCUCUAGUGAGCAGCAAACAAUGGAACUUUAGUAGAAAGGUUGUUGGUGACAACUGAUGCCAGAGAAUGGAACUAGAAUGCAAUGAAAAAAAACGAAUUAGGACACACUGUGAGAGAAUGCAGAAAAGUAAGUAAAAUAGAAUCGGAAUGAUCGAUGACAUACUGUGUAAAUGCAAACUUGUGAAACCUUACGUGACGCCGUUUGCCCUACGUCCAAUUUCAUAAUGAAUAUCGUCAGCGCCCUCCAUAAGAGACGUUCUAUCGUGACUUAACAAGUAAUCAUGCGUUGCCUAGCGUAUCAAUGUUCACAUCGUUGAUUCGAAGGAAUAGCACCUGAUCGAUUCUAAGCCACUUAAGAAAUGCACAGGACUGCCUGCAGAUGAAGACUCUCUAUAAUUCCUCGGAAUAGCUGCGUGCAUGAAGGUCCGUUAAGGGUUCAAAGCUCGUUAUAGCCUCGAAAGUCGUGCGAGAAAGCGGGUGCAGCUGUGCUUAAUGCUUCAAUGCAUCUUGAGGGACUUUCCUCAUCAAAUUCAAACGAUUCCACAUGGCCAACUGCCUUAUGCCUUAUUCCUUGGGCGAUCUUUGAGCCACUAACUCCUUCAAGCAGGUAAGACAAUAUAAAAUAUAUCCAUUUUUAGUUGCACCCACUUAGUUGCACCGUUAAUUGCACAAGCAUUUAAAAGCCAAACGGCGUAAAUGCGUGUGACACAUUGAUGUGCCUGCUGUCAGCCUCAGCUGCAAUAUAGUCCACUCAGUUCCGAUGGCAUAUAUGAGAAACAAAGAAUGCAUGUGAAGGUUUCAGAUAUUUUGUUAUAUAUUUUAUAUAUUCCACAAACAGAGUUUAUAAGGCGAUUUCACCUAUUUCAAGAAUGUGAACUCACAACCGCUUCCUCACUACACCCUGUGCUGCAUCGGUGCAUUGGUGAAAGGGACUUGCAACAGACUACCACUAAUAGGUUUCCCACUAUUAGGGUUCCUGAUUAUAUAGGAGACCGACUUCUCGUUUCUCUCAUUCUUCGCCCUUCAACGUUUAUUUUGUCAAAGGAAUGCUUCAGGAGUGGAAGCGAAGCAAACAGAAAAGCGCGUUUAAAAAAAAGACGCCUCACAUGAUCAGCCAGCCACUUGCACAAAUUGCCAAAAAUGAUAAAAUAUGCGCAAUAAUGUGGUGACAGUUUGAACUAAUUGACUUCUUGCUGAGAAUAGUUACAUUCAACAUGACCGAACGCCUACAUGGCAGUGCUGGUCAAGACCCACACGCACGCUUUUCGACACAUCCUAGCAUCCCAAACUCUUGUUGGAGGCUACUAAUCUGCUUGAGGAUCUCAAAAUGAUCGGUCAGUGGCAUGCGAUGCAUUCACUGCACUCAGCCCGAUAGCUGUAGUACCCGUCAUUUCUGAACUGAGGUUAUCGAACAGACACUCAGAGACGCGUAUAAACGUAUAUGUUUAUAGAUAAGAUGCUAUAUAUAUAUAUAUAUAUAUAUNCGGUCGGGCUGCAGUGUGAAGUGAGCUCGGUUUGAUCCAUGCAGUGCAACGCUCGGAAACGGGUGGCGCUCGGCUAGCGUUCGAACUGUCUUGUGGACCGCUGCAGCUGUGUGCCGCGUCAAUAAUGGCGUUGGUGCUUCGGCGGGCGCUAAACAGUCGACUUAGAACUGGCACGGACUCGGGGAAUCCGACUGUCUAAUUAAAACAGAGGAGACAGAUGGCCCUUGCGAGCGUUGACUGUCUCUGAUUUCUGCCCAGUGCUCUGAAUGUAAAAGUGAAGAAAUUCAACCAAGCGCGGGUAAACGGCGGGAGUAACUAUGACUCUCUUAAGGUAGCCAAAUGCCUCGUCAUCUAAUUAAUGACGCGCAUGAAUGGAUUAACGAGAUUCCCACUGUCCCUAUCUACUAUCUAGCGAAACCACAGCCAAGGGAACGGGCUUGGCGAACACAGCGGGGAAAGAAGACCCUGUUGAGCUUGACUCUAGUCCGACUCUGUGAAGAGUCAUGAGAGGUGUAGCAUAAGUGGGAGGCUUUGGCCAACAGUGAAAUACCACUACUUUCAUCGAUUCUUUACUUAUUCGGUAAGACGAGAAUUGAGCCUAUCCGGCUCUUCAUUCUGGUGUUAAGUGCAGCCACUCGGUGGCCGUUCGACUCGCGCCGAAGACAGUGUCAGGCGGGGAGUUUGACUGGGGCGGUACAUCUGUCAAAUCGUAACGCAGGUGUCCUAAGGCUAGCUCAGAGAGGACGGAAACCUCUCGUAGAGCAAAAGGGCAAAAGCUCGCUUGAUCUUGAUUUCCAGUACGAAUACAGACCGCGAAAGCGUGGCCUAUCGAUCCUUUUGAAUUAGAAGGUCUCUAGCAAGAGGUGUCAGAAAAGUUACCACAGGGAUAACUGGCUUGUGGCAGCCAAGCGUCCAUAGCGACGUUGCUUUUUGAUCCUUCGAUGUCGGCUCUUCCUAUCAUUGCGCAGCAGAAUUCGCCAAGCGUUGGAUUGUUCACCCACCAAUAGGGAACGUGAGCUGGGUUUAGACCGUCGUGAGACAGGUUAGUUUUACCCUACUGUGACUCGUUGUUGCGAUAGUAAUCCUGCUUAGUACGAGAGGAACCGCAGGUUCAGACAUUUGGUUCAUGUGCUUGGCCGAUCGGCCAAUGGUGCGAAGCUACCAUCUGAGGGAUUAUGACUGAACGCCUCUAAGUCAGAAUCCCGCCUAGUGAAGGCAACGAUAAAUUUGCUCGCCGGUGUCGGGAGGCACUUCUAUGUAACUUUUAAAGUUACAGCUAAUGCCCCAUUAUAUGGUCUUUCCGAACGAUUGAAAAGUCGUGCGGUUGCCAAAGCCGGACUACACGGUACAACGUCGGGGCGCAAAAUCACUUGCAGACGACUUGAUUACUGGUCAAGGUGUUGUAUCCAGUAGAGCAGCCUCCAUACUGCGAUCUGUUGAGACUCAUCCUUUGAUUGGACGAUUUGU
rnacentral:rRNA from 1 species